rnacentral:rRNA from 1 species
GCUAGAAACAAGAGAGAAUAUACUCAAUGCCAAAACAUUGAGAUGGAGCUGAUCUUGGAAGCCAAGCAGAGUUGGGCCUGGUUAGUACCUGGAUGGGAGACUGCCUGAGAAUACUGGAUGUUGUAGGCU